CCUACGGGUGGCAGCAGUGGGGAAUAUUGGACAAUGGGCGAAAGCCUGAUCCAGCCAUGCCGCGUGUGUGAAGAAGGCCUUCGGGUUGUAAAGCACUUUCAGUGGGGAAGAAAGCCUUGGGGCUAAUACCCUCGAGGAAGGACAUCACCCACAGAAGAAGCACCGGCUAACUCCGUGCCAGCAGCCGCGGUAAUACGGAGGGUGCGAGCGUUAAUCGGAAUUACUGGGCGUAAAGCGCGCGUAGGCGGUCUGAUAAGCCGGUUGUGAAAGCCCCGGGCUCAACCUGGGAACGGCAUCCGGAACUGUCAGGCUAGAGGGCAGGAGAGGAAGGUAGAAUUCCCGGUGUAGCGGUGAAAUGCGUAGAGAUCGGGAGGAAUACCAGUGGCGAAGGCGGCCUUCUGGACUGACACUGACGCUGAGGUGCGAAAGCGUGGGUAGCAAACAGGAUUAGAUACCCCAGUAGUC
rnacentral:rRNA from 1 species